UGAGUUGGAUACAUUUUUCUAUCCGAUACGAAAACAUGCGCAUAAACUACGAUGGAAAUGCAUUUACCGAAUAAAUUCCUUGAUGCGCAUAAAAAAAAAUCAUGUGACUUUGCGCGACGCAACAGCAUAACUGUACUAACCAGCGGAAACAUCUUGUUGCAAAGCAUCUGAAAUGCUGUUUUGGUCAUUCAGAAGUCUGUGGUCAAAGAUUCUCAGUAUAUUUCCCUCCUAGAACAGUCUUACAUGACUGCGUUCCCAAACAGCAGCAUCUGCCUCCGAAAGCAAGACAACACGUUUAUUGCAUUUCAUCUGCAAGCACUGAGACACAAAUAAUAUAUUAUAUAAUAUAUUAUAUAUACCUUGCUCUGUCAGGUCAGGGUUGAUUGACAGCUGUUAACUUUCAGAUCUCUUACCUAGCUGAGCUUCUUCACGUUAAACGUCCAGCUGAGGGCUGAGAUCAGCCAAUGUGCUUCAAACCAGCUCAUGGGAAACAGGAUUGCAUUGGUUAGAUAGGCACACACAAUCAAAGCUGAAAAGAUUGCAAACAAAUGAAAAAUAGAAGAAAAGCCUUACCUUUGCUCUAGCCAUGGUGUUAGCAAACGGCUUGAUGACGUAAUUUCCUCAUGUGACUCAACUGUUUUUUAUCUUCCUCAACAGGACUACACAGAUUUCAGUAACAGGGUUGUGCGCAUGUUGUAGGACACAACUUUAGUGCAUAAUUGCAGUUAUUUAAAACAUGUUGAUGAUCAAACUAUUUUGACAAAGACAUUAGACAAUAUUAAACCAGAAAAAAAUAGAUAAAGUUAUUUAAACUGUUAUAUUUGAUAUGUAAGUUGGUCAUCAAGAAUGGGAAAAUAGAAAAAUGCCAUUUUAGGGGGCUACUUGAUAUUUUAGAUAAUAUUUUGGAACCACUUUUUCUACCAUGAUAUUUAGAUUUAGUCUCAGGACAAGUAUAGUAUACACCACAAGUGCAUGUUUUAGGAUUUUCCGUAUGGAUUAUUUGAAAUGUAAUGUGUGGGACAGAAAAUGUCCUCUUGUUCUAGCAUGUGCCUAUCGUCCUCACUCAGAAAGGGCCCUAUCAGCAGCACCAUGAAGAUGAGUUCACACAGGUGCCCCUAGUAGAGGAACCACAAGUGAACUUCAGCACAUUAGCCAUGGACAUGUUAUAAUAACUUUGACAAUUUGAACUUGAAAAAAUACUAGUUUGUUGCCAUUUAGAGGGGUAUGUUCACGUAACAGUCUGAUGUAUUUAUUUUAGUACACAAUAUCUCUUUAGAGUUGUGUUAAAUGUGUUUUUCUACAGUUUAUCUAGCAUUUUAUGAAAAACCUUAUGAACAUCAUGGAAGUUUGCUGAUAGUCUAACUGUCCAAAUAAUUUGUGUGGCCACUGUAAAUUAAUGAGAGAGGUUAAGGGACAGAGACGAUAGCUGGUCAAAGAUUAAAAGCUACAGUUGGGACAGCAGUUGAAUACACCCAUAAAAGGAUUAAUAAAAACAUGGAAUAGGUCAUGUACACAGACAGGUCAAUCAAAAACUGGGUAAGAAAUACUUCACUGUGAAACAUAAUGCACUGUUACUUAGUUCAUAUUACUCUGUUGACAUUAUUCAUUUUGACUGAGUUGUCAUUAUGUUCUGUUCUGUCAUGUACCUGUACUAAAAUCAUAGCAAGUUCUCUUAUGUAGCAGGGCUUUGAAGUUCGUGAGUGAGAUUACAUCUGUCAGGGGAGGAGACACAGGUUUUCCACUCCAUUCACUCACGUUUUUCCUACAGUCAAAUUUGACCUGUUGUUCAUCAUAAUUGACCAGCGCAAGUAGAACUGAUGCCUCUUGUCGACUCAAGGGCCUGUUCUUUGGCUGUUCUACUUUCUCCCUGUUCAGAAGUACGAGCUGGUUGUGCCUGUGGUGAUGAACGGCCAUUUGGUUGACCACUCGCUUUUAAACCUAAACACGGGGCUGCUCCACUUAAUACAGUCAAAUUUGAAAUAAAUAUAAAAUAAUGAAAAUAUAUCUCUAGUCCUUUCCUUAGUUCCAGGUAGCCAAAGCUACGCUAAAGUUUCUGGUUGCAAAGAAGUUGGAGAGUUUUUGACUGAAUCAUUAAUCAUUUUGCACCAAAUUUGGCUAAAUCCCCAUAUCAGUAACUGAUUUCGUCCAGGAAAUCAAAAUCCUAAAAAAUGAAGGGCUUCAAGGGUGUAGUUUUGGUUUGAACAUUGCGGGGUUGAUAUUUGAGACGUUUAGCAGGAUUUAAUGGACACGCUCCCUUGUGAGAUGUAUUUGUUUGCUUGUUUAUUUAAUUGUGCAAAAUGGUCUUUUGUGGCUUCAUAUGCAAAAUUGGUUAAUAACCUAACUGCAUGUAUUUUAUAUUAUUUAAACACCUAAAACCUGAUCUCUGUGACAGAAUUACACUAAAAGAACUUUACUUAAAAUCUUCUUAUAUUGAAAAUGUUAAUUCCCUGCAAUCUGCCAGUUUUUUCCUAAUAUCUGUCGUUAUUAGCUGGAUACAUUUUACACAUGGGGAAAAAAAAUUGUUUAAUUGAUCAUUCAUUAAGGAGCAGACUUUAAAGCUCUUGUCGAUUGUAAUUUCAAUUUGGUAUUAUGAAACAUUAAGUUACAUAGCCUAGGAUUGCUAUUUCUUAUAAUUUUUUACCAGUAGCUUUUGUUACAAUAAGAAGGUUAGAUUAUUGAUUGCUCCUUAUAACCAUGGUAGCCUAAGGCCAAUGUUAACUUUUUUUCUUUAUCUGUAGAAUUUAUGAAAAAUAGCAGCCUUCAAAAAGAAACUAUAGUAGGCUACACAGCAUGCCACAGUUGUAAUGUAAAUCGUAAGGGAAAAACAAAUCCUCUUAAAAAAUAAUAUAUUAUAAAUUCUAAAACAAGUUAUUCAAUAUUUACAACAAUACAUACAAUAGUUUGUGAUAAAUUCUAGUAAUGAUGGUCAUAAGUAGUUUAGAAAGCUUUUUAAUUUGAGUUGGUGUAGGGUGACGUUUUCUCAGUUUCUGCGUGCAGCACGUAAUUUACCCAGAAACAACGAAUUCUCGUUUCUGAUUGGCUGGUAGGUGGUAUUUAACCCUGUAUAAUUCGACAGGAAACUUCCCUCGACAUGCAGACGCAUCGUCUAUUAAUUGUAUAUAGAUAGACAAGUUUUCCCUUACUCUGCGUGGGAAAGAAAAGGUGUGGCGUGUGAACUGGUUGAAAUGCGUGUUUCUCACGCUGAAUGCGUGAAUAGUACCCUGAGUAGGUUGAAAGGGUAUUUCAUCUGCGCAUGCGCCUCAGACGAUUGCGGGCAGCACGCGGCCGUGCGCACCGUUUAAACGGACUUUGGACUUCUUGUUUAAUGUUGUCGAACAGAGGCGAAUUCAAGCAGAAGGCCUCCGUGGGACAUUUCGCGUUUUUCUUUCCUGUGGUCGAACGGGCUUUGGUGUGCUUUCUGAGCUGGUGAUCAUGGAUCGGUGCAGAAAAUCCUCACUCUGCUGUUCAUCUGUAGGACACCAGCACAUACGAGGACUUCUCUCCGGUUGAUACCUGGAACUACCCAGCUGCACCUCCAGACGGUGUCCAUCUCAAUAACUCCUGAAGACGUUACCCAAAGGCUCACUCUUUUGUUUGGACUCAAGUAUGCAUUUUAUAUAGACUACUCUGCAGGUAUGAGGAAGACAUUUUAAUUUGUGUAGAAGGUGGCCAGUAUCUGUGUCUUUUACAGCAGCGGCAGAACCUUCAGUUUUAAUGUGAAAGGUGCUUUCUCCACUUAAUUAAAGGGGCUUGUUGUAGCUUUGAAUACCAUUGUAGUUUUUCUGAAAACAUUGAAGUUUUUUUUUGUUUUGUUCAGUUUAUGGAAGUACAGUUUUGUACAGUACAAUUUUGUAUUUAAGGAUUGUAUUAGUAGCCUACAAUUUGUGAAAAAUUUGAAAGAAAUGAAUAAAAUGAGAUUACAUCAAAUCAGUCCCAAGUGAAUUAUGCUAUAUGUGA